GCACCGCAGCAAACCCUGCUCUCGGCUGCCAGUGCAGGGCACGGGUCAAGAUGGUGCCAGAGUGACUCAAAGAUAAUCCAGACGAGCUCUCUCCACCUGUUGGAGCUUGUCCCUACAACUUUGAUACAAAC